UACGAAGGGGGCUAGCGUUGCUCGGAAUCACUGGGCGUAAAGGGUGCGUAGGCGGGUCUUUUAAGUCAGGGGUGAAAUCCUGGAGCUCAACUCCAGAACUGCCUUUGAUACUGAGGAUCUUGAGUUCGGGAGAGGUGAGUGGAACUGCGAGUGUAGAGGUGAAAUUCGUAGAUAUUCGCAAGAACACCAGUGGCGAAGGCGGCUCACUGGCCCGAUACUGACGCUGAGGCACGAAAAGCGUGGGGGAGCAAACAGGG
rnacentral:rRNA from 1 species